UACCACCUGGCUACCUGUAUAACAUAAAGUAUUUACAAAUUUCAAAAAAAAUUGUAAAUACUUUAUGUUAUACAGGUAGCCAGGUGGUA